ensembl:lncRNA
CACUGUACUGACCUGUCACACACUGAAGGUCUAUAGGUUCACCACUGUACUAACCUGUCACACACUGAAGUCCUAUAGGUUCACCACUGUACUAACCUGUCACACACUGAAGACCUAUAGGUUCACCACUGUACUAACCUGUCACACACUGAAGACCUAUAGGUUCACCACUGUACUAACCUGUCACACACUGAAGGCCUAUAGGUUCACCACUGUACUAACCUGUCACACACUGAAGGUCUAUAGGUUCACCACUGUACUAACCUGUCACACACUGAAGGCCUAUAGGUUCACCACUGAAGACCUAUAGGUUCACCACUGUACUAACCUGUCACACACUGAAGGCCUAUAGGUUCACCACUGUACUAACCUGUCACACACUGAAGACCUAUAGGUUCACCACUGUACUAACCUGUCACACACUGAAGUCCUAUAGGUUCACCACUGUACUAACCUGUCACACACUGAAGGCCUAUAGGUUCACCACUGUACUAACCUGUCACACACUGAAGGUCUAUAGGUUCACCACUGUACUAACCUGUCACACACUGAAGACCUA